UCUCUUGUAGCUUAGUGGUCAGAGCACUGGUGUGUAAAGGCAAAGGUCCCAGGUUCGAUUCCCGGCGAGGAUG
rnacentral:tRNA from 1 species